AGUGAACGCUGGCGGUAGGCCUAACACAUGCAAGUCGAACGGCAGCACAGUAAGAGCUUGCUCUUACGGGUGGCGAGUGGCGGACGGGAGAGGAAUACAUUGGAAUCUACUUUUUCGUGGGGGAUAACGUAGGGAAACUUACGCUAAUACCGCAUAUGACCUACGGGUGAAAGCAGGGGAUCUUCGGACCUUGCGGGAUUGAAUGAGCCGAUGUCGGAUUAGUUAGUUGGCGGGGUAAAGGCCAACCAAGGCGACGAUCCGUAGCUGGUCUGAGAGGAUGAUCGGCCACACGGGAGCUGAGACACGGUCCAGGCUCCUGCGAGAGGCAGCAGUGUGGAAUAUUGGACAGUGGGCGCGAGCCUGGUCCAGCCAUACCGCGUGGGUGAAGAAGGCCUUCGGGUUGUAAAGCCCUUUUGUGGGUAAAGAAAAGCAGCAGGUUAAUACCCCGCUGUUCUGACGGUACCCAAAGAAUAAGCACCGGCUAACUUCGUG
rnacentral:rRNA from 1 species